AACGAACGCUGGCGGCAUGCCUAACACAUGCAAGUCGAACGAGACCUUUGGGUCUAGUGGCGCACGGGUGCGUAACGCGUGGGAAUCUGCCCUUGGAUUCGGAAUAACAGUGAGAAAUUGCUGCUAAUACCGGAUGAUGUCUUCGGACCAAAGAUUUAUCGCCCAGGGAUGAGCCCGCGUAGGAUUAGCUAGUUGGUGGGGUAAUGGCCUACCAAGGCGACGAUCCUUAGCUGGUCUGAGAGGAUGAUCAGCCACACUGGGACUGAGACACGGCCCAGACUCCUACGGGAGGCAGCAGUGGGGAAUAUUGGACAAUGGGCGCAAGCCUGAUCCAGCAAUGCCGCGUGAGUGAUGAAGGCCUUAGGGUUGUAAAGCUCUUUUACCAGGGAUGAUAAUGACAGUACCUGGAGAAUAAGCGCCGGCUAACUCCGUG
rnacentral:rRNA from 1 species